GCCGCUCCCACACCCCGACCGAGGCUCUGUCUGUUUGCUCAGGUGCCAAAGUAUGUUAAACCAACCAAGUCUCUUUAAAGCCGUUACAGUGAUUGUCUGGUGCAAACAACUAGUUCGGAAGAUAUAGCAAGUGUCCAUAAUUAAAGUUCAGUGUCAUGGCCUCUAAAAGGAAACACAUUAUGCUAUACCUCGAGCAAGACUUCUAAAUUAGAGGCGAGCUGAACUGAGGAUCUUCACAGAACACUUUUACUGCCAAGCACAGUGUCAGACGAGCAACUAUUUAUGAGCAAACUUUAAAUGAUGACGAGAUUACCAAAAGUGUACAGGAAAGUUAUGAUAAAAGUUAUGAAGAACAGGACAUCAGGAGGAGAGAACAUGAAGACAUCUGACACUGCUGAGGCUGAAGCUGUAGACACCUUCCUGAAGCACAUUAUGCAACAAUCAGAAACAUGCAGUACCAAAGUAAUGCUUGUAAAACCAUCGUGUGAUAAAGCAUACUGCCGUCGUGUAUCAUCAUUGCAACAGCUAAAAAUAUGGGACACGUUUCGAAGAAAUUUCAGAUCUUAUGUUUGAAUUUUGACAAGAAAAUCACAUUGCAGCAAUGUCACCUAAUGGCCACAGUCAUUUCAUUUAAGGCAGACUGCCACACUAAAUGGUUAGCAUCAGUUCAUGGAACGGCUAUACAUUGGAAUGACAGAUGAGAUACUUUCUAUUAAUACCCUUUUACCGUGUCAAAAGAGCAACUAAAACAGACUUGAGAUCGAGGAGAAAGAUGAGCUGAAGGCCAGACUUACCAUUCGUAAACUGAAA